rnacentral:rRNA from 1 species
AUACGGAGGGUGCAAGCGUUAUUCGGAAUCACUGGGCGUAAAGGACGCGUAGGCGGGGUGGAAAGUCAGGUGUGAAAGCCUACAGCUUAACUGUAGAACUGCACUUGAAACUCUCACCCUCGAGUAUGGGAGGGGCAGAUGGAAUUAGUGGUGUAGGGGUAAAAUCCGUAGAUAUCACUAGGAAUACCGAAAGCGAAGGCGAUCUGCUGGAACAUAACUGACGCUAAGGCGUGAAAGCGUGGGGAGCAAACAGGAUUAGAUACCCUAGUAGUCC